rnacentral:rRNA from 1 species
GUGGGGAAUCUUGCGCAAUGGGCGAAAGCCUGACGCAGCCAUGCCGCGUGGAUGAUGAAGGUCUUAGGAUUGUAAAAUCCUUUCACCGGUGAAGAUAAUGACUGUAGCCGGAGAAGAAGCCCCGGCUAACUACGUGCCAGCAGCCGCGGUAAUACGUAGGGGGCGAGCGUUGUCCGGAGUUACUGGGCGUAAAGGGCGUGUAGGCGGUUGAAAAAGUCGGGUGUGAAAUGCUUCAGCUCAACUGGAGCGCUGCGCUCGAAACUUUUCGACUGGAGUUCAGAAGGGGGAACUGGAAUUCCUGGUGUAACGGUGAAAUGUGUAGAGAUCAGGAGGAACAUCUGUGGCGAAGGCGGGUUACUGGUCUGAAACUGACGCUGAGACGCGAAAGCGUGGGGAGCAAACAGGAUUAGAUACCCGAGUAGUCC